rnacentral:tRNA from 1 species
GCCUCUAUAGUUUAGUGGUAGAAUGCUGCACUUGUAAUGCAGUGGUCCGUGGUUCGAACCCGCGUGGAGGCU